GUAGAUACAGUUUAACCAAAACAUUAGAUUGUGAUUCUAAAAAUAGGGGUUAAAAUCCCCUUGUCCACC
rnacentral:tRNA from 1 species